rnacentral:tRNA from 4 species
GGGUGCUUAGCUCAGCUGGCAGAGCAUUCGUCUUAUACACGAACGGUCCCUGGUUCGAUCCCAGGAGCACCCACCA